AUUAAUAAUAAAAUAAAACUUGGAAUCAAGCAUUUAUCCAGUUAAAAGGUUUGGGAAACUCACCAAUGGCUUCAACUAGACGAAGAACCAUUUGCCCUGU